rnacentral:rRNA from 1 species
UGAUCCUGGCUCAGAUUGAACGCUGGCGGCAGGCCUAACACAUGCAAGUCGAGCGCGAAAGUUCUUCGGAACAAGUAGAGCGGCGGACGGGUGAGUAAUGCUUGGGAAUCUACCUAGUAGUGGGGGACAACAGUUGGAAACGACUGCUAAUACCGCAUACGCCCUACGGGGGAAAGGGGGGGAUCUUCGGACCUCUUGCUAUUGGAUGAGCCCAAGUCGGAUUAGCUAGUUGGUAGGGUAAUGGCUUACCAAGGCGACGAUCCGUAGCUGGUUUGAGAGGAUGAUCAGCCACACUGGGACUGAGACACGGCCCAGACUCCUACGGGAGGCAGCAGUGGGGAAUAUUGCACAAUGGGCGCAAGCCUGAUGCAGCCAUGCCGCGUGUGUGAAGAAGGCCCUAGGGUUGUAAAGCACUUUAAGCAGUGAGGAAGGCUUUAUGUUUAAUACGCAUAAAGAUUGACGUUAACUGCAGAAUAAGCACCGGCUAACUUCGUGCCAGCAGCCGCGGUAAUACGAGGGGUGCAAGCGUUAAUCGGAAUUACUGGGCGUAAAGCGCGCGUAGGUGGCUGAUCAAGCCAGAUGUGAAAUCCCCGGGCUUAACCUGGGAACUGCAUUUGGAACUGAUUAGCUAGAGUACAGCAGAGGAGUGUGGAAUUUCAGGUGUAGCGGUGAAAUGCGUAGAGAUCUGAAGGAACAUCAGUGGCGAAGGCGACACUCUGGGCUGAUACUGACACUGAGGUGCGAAAGCGUGGGUAGCAAACAGGAUUAGAUACCCUGGUAGU